CCUACGGGAGGCAGCAGUGAGGAAUAUUGGUCAAUGGACGAGAGUCUGAACCAGCCAAGUAGCGUGAAGGAUGACUGCCCUAUGGGUUGUAAACUUCUUUUAUAUGGGAAUAAAACGUUCCACGUGUGGGAUUUUGUAUGUACCAUAUGAAUAAGGAUCGGCUAACUCCGUGCCAGCAGCCGCGGUAAUACGGAGGAUCCGAGCGUUAUCCGGAUUUAUUGGGUUUAAAGGGAGCGUAGGUGGAUUGUUAAGUCCGUUGUGAAAGUUUGCGGCUCAACCGUAAAAUUGCAGUUGAAACUGGCAGUCUUGAGUACAGUAGAGGUGGGCGGAAUUCGUGGUGUAGCGGUGAAAUGCUUAGAUAUCACGAAGAACUCCGAUUGCGAAGGCAGUUCACUGGACUGCAACUGACACUGAGGCUCGAAAGUGUGGGUAUCAAACAGGAUUAGAUACACUUGUAGUC
rnacentral:rRNA from 1 species